rnacentral:lncRNA from 1 species
CAGAAAUUAAGUCAGUCUGGUGCUUCCAACUAACUCCUUUCUCUUAAAAGUCAUGAUAUGAGCAUGGAGUAACCAAGUGCUCAGUGUCUCUCAAGUCUAAGAUCAAGAUGUCAGUUGGGCCACAUUUUCCUCUGGUGCUCAGUAUCCUCCUCCAAGCUCACACUGGUUGGCAGCAGAAUUAAAUUACUUAUUGUCAUAGGACUGAGGUCCCCACUUUCUUGUUGGACCUUUCUUAGCUCUUUGGAUCUGCCUUCAGAUCCUAGCCACAAGACUUCCUCCACAGUGAGAUUACAACAUAGUUUUGCACAUUUCCAGGCCCACAGGAAAGCUAUUCAUUUUCUCUUUUAAGGGCUCACCUGACUAGGUCAAACCCACCAAAGAUAAUCAUUCAUUUGAUUAACUCAAAAUCAACUGAUCAGAGAAUUUCAUUACACCCAUACCAUCCCUUUUGCUAUGUAAUGUAACGUAAUUAUGGAAGUAUGGAAGUGGUAUUUCAUCAUAUUUACAGGUCCCACUCACACUCACGGGUAGGGAUUAUGCACAGCAUGUAUCCCAGGGGGCAGAAAUCUUUGGGACCAUUUUAGAAUUCUGCCUACCACAAUGUGUAUGUAUCUGAGCCUUCCUUCUAGUGUAUGAGCUUCUUCUGGACAUGGAUCAGAAUUAAAUUGUUGGUUGAAUUAAUGGGAAAAAAACUAACUGAAAUUAGUUUCCCCAGGCUUUUAAAUGUCUCUAGUUUAUAUCUGCUUGUGUUGAGAUACUUUGGCAUUAAUUAUAAUCAAGCAUAGAUUUCCAUAAAUAAACGGCAGUUUGUAACAAAGAUUUGCCAGUAUAGCUGACACCUUUAGGAAGUAAAAUUUUAUAAAAUCAGUAUAAUGACUAAUUUCUUCACACAGCUAGCCUAUUUAUCACAAGUCUUUAUUGGAUACCAACUUUGCAUGCACUGAGUAAUGUGCUAGAUUACAUGGGGAACCAAAUAAAAGAAUACCAGACAUCAUCUCUUUUCUCAAGGAGCUCACAGCAUAAUAAGGAAGAGAACUCUAAAACACAUAAAGUAAAAUUUAACAACACAAGACACAGCAGUUAAUAUUUAUAUCUAAAUUGAAUAAUACAGAAACACAUGGCAGAAACUUCCAGAAGUAGAUCAAAGUUGGCUGAAGUAAGAAAAAGUUCUAAAAUUAUAUCCAUUGUUAAAAGCUAGGCAGGAGAAAUUAGACUUGAUAUGCUAGAAAAGAGCUGUGAAAGGUUUCAAUCUGUGACACAAAAAAUGAAAGCUGUACAUAAGGAAAGUGAGUGUGAAGAGGAUUUUGUAGGGUGGAUUGGAGCAGAAGAGGCUUUUAAAUUGGGGAGAUCACUUAGGAAGCUAAUGUAGUAAUCCAGAUAGGAAGUGAUGAGGGCCUGGACCAUGUGGUAGUAUCAGGACCAGACGGAAGAUUCAAUAAGCUACGCUUUGAAAAUACAACAGCAUUUUGUCUAGGAUUUUACCUGAUACGGGGGAUAAGACAGAGUUGAAACUAUGGUUCGUUUGUUUGUUUGUUUGUUUGUUUUUUAGACGGAGUCUCACUCUAUCGCCCAGGCUGGAGUGCAGUGGCGCGAUCUCGGCUCACUGCAAGCUCUGCCUCCUGGGUUCACGCCAUUCUCCUGCCCUAGCCUCCCGAAUAGCUGGGACUACAGGCGCUCGCCACCGCGCCCGGCUAAUUUUUUGUAUUUUUAGUAGAGACGGGGUUUCACCGUGUUAGGCAGGAUGGUCUCGAUCUCCUGACCUCGUGAUCCGCCCGCCUCGGCCUCCCACGAUACUGGGAUUACAGGUGUGAGCCACCACGCCCGGCCGAAACUAUAGUUUUACAUUUAGGUGGUUGUGGCAGAGAUUGAUGGCUAUACAUCAACAUCCAUUUCCGGUUUUUUUUCCUGGACAAAGCGAUAGACCAUAUUUCCCGGCUUCCCUUGAGAUAUGUGUGACCAUGACGCUGAGAUCCAGCCAACAUAAAAGGGCAGAGAUUAUGCAGCACUUCAAGAUCUGAACUACAGAAUCUCCUGCAUACAAUCCUCCAUGUAGUGGGGAGGGCCAUCCUGCAGACUUCUUCUCUCACCCUGUGCUAUGUAUUCAAUCGAGUCUGAACCAUUAUACAUUUUUGUCUAUUUAUUUUAGAAUUAAACCACUUUACCAUUGACUUGGAAUAUGGUGGCACCACUAACAGAAGAAGAGCUGGGAAAAAGAUGCUCAUUUGGAAUUUUAGAGAAUACUAAAAGAGAGUGGGAAGUCUUAUAGGCAGCCGGUAGUACACAGCACAAUCAAAGCCUAAGAGAAAGGACUCAAUAGUAAAUAGAGAUUUGUUAUUUGCAAAUUAAAGUUUGUUGACACUACAGAAUAGGAGAAUUCUCAGAUGAAGAAAGUGUAGGAAAAUGAGUGGAGCACUGUGUCUUAAAUAUAUAUUCACAUUCUCAUACAUAAAAGCGUGAAAACGUAAGAAUAAAUAUGUCAGCUUAAGAG